CCUACGGGUGGCAGCAGUGGGGAAUAUUGGACAAUGGGCGAAAGCCUGAUCCAGCCAUGCCGCGUGUGUGAAGAAGGCCUUCGGGUUGUAAAGCACUUUCAGUGGGGAAGAAAGCCUUGGGGCUAAUACCCUCGAGGAAGGACAUCACCCACAGAAGAAGCACCGGCUAACUCCGUGCCAGCAGCCGCGGUAAUACGGAGGGUGCGACCGUUAAUCGGAAUUACUGGGCGUAAAGCGCGCGUAGGCGGUCUGAUAAGCCGGUUGUGAAAGCCCCGGGCUCAACCUGGGAACGGCAUCCGGAACUGUCAGGAUAGAGUGCAGGAGAGGAAGGUAGAAUUCCCGGUGUAGCGGGGAAAUGCGUAGAGAUCGGGAGGAAUACCAGUGGCGAAGGCGGCCUUCUGGACUGACACUGACGCUGAGGUGCGAAAGCGUGGGUAGCAAACAGGAUUAGAUACCCUGGUAGUC
rnacentral:rRNA from 1 species